AACGCUGGCGGCAUGCUUACACAUGCAAGCCGCACGGGCGGGGGCAACUCCGUCAGUGGCGGACGGGUGAGUAACGCGUAGGCAUCUAUCCUUGGGUGGGGGAUAACCGUGGGAAACUACGGCUAAUACCGCAUGACACCUGUGGGUCAAAGCUCGCAAGAGCGCCUGGGGAGGAGCCUGCGUCCGAUUAGCUUGUUGGUGGGGUAAUGGCCUACCAAGGCGACGAUCGGUAGCUGGUCUGAGAGGAUGAUCAGCCACACUGGGACUGAGACACGGCCCAGACUCCUACGGGAGGCAGCAGUGGGGAAUAUUGGACAAUGGGCGCAAGCCUGAUCCAGCAAUGCCGCGUGGGUGAAGAAGGUCUUCGGAUUGUAAAGCCCUUUCGGCGGGGACGAUGAUGACGGUACCCGCAGAAGAAGCCCCGGCUAACUUCGUGCCAGCAGCCGCGGUAAUACGAAGGGGGCUAGCGUUGCUCGGAAUGACUGGGCGUAAAGGGCGCGUAUGCGGCGCACACAGUCAGAUAUGGAAUUCCUGGGCUUAACCUGGGGGCUGCAUUUGAUACGUGUGUGCUUGA
rnacentral:rRNA from 1 species